UGGAAGGGAUAGCACGAUUGGACACAGUUCCCACCCCUGGAACAGAGCCAGCAACACAUGGAUCUCCUUGAGUGCUGAUGAUUGCAGGAGGCAUUAAACUUUGUUUACAUAAUAAUAUACAUACUUUAUUUCAUGUUCCGCCUUAUGGGGAAUGUUCUCCCUGCCAAGAUUAAUGACUCCAUGAUUACCAGAAAUAGCACGAUUCAGGGAAGCAGGAAUGAGUAUAGUGAUCUUCAGCAAUAUGGUGACACUAUUACCUUCAAGUCAGCCCUUAAGGCUUUUGGAAAGAACUCUGAAAACAUGAGUUCAACAAUACAUAAAUUAGUGUAAACACUGUUCUUUUCAGGAUUUCUCAACUAUGCAAAUAGGGAUGUAGUAUGAAUUGUCUGAGAGUUUCACAGACUUGAAAGAACAGAGGCAGUUGCACAAUGAGUCAGCUUAGUAAAAAAGAUUAACAAA
rnacentral:lncRNA from 1 species